GGUCAGGCAUUUUAAAUUUGGGGCCCUUCAGUUUCCCUUCUGGACCAUGAAUAUCAAUAUCAGGAGUGUCAAUGUCCACUUUGGGUCCUGAGACAUCAAUGUCAGCCUUGGGCAGGUUCACAUCCACAUCUGGGCCCUCUCCUUUGAAGCCAGGCAUGCUGAACUUGGGCAUUUUCACCUUGGGCAUCUUCAGGUGCCAGUCUGGGCCAUGAACAUCCACAUCUGGGGCAUCAAUGUCCAUUUUGGGUCCUUUGAUGUCAACAUCUGGCACUUUCAUUUCACCUUCUACCUUGGGCACAGACACAUCCAUAUCCCCUUUGACUUUGGGGCCUUUCAGGUGUAAGUCCACAUCAGGCAUGGAGAUCUUGGGGGCCUUGAAGUGCAUCUCAGGCAUCUUAAACUUGGGCCCUUUCAACUUUGCAUCAGGACACUC
rnacentral:lncRNA from 1 species